GUCUUUUUGAGUUAUUUUUAAAGUCUGACCUGCCCACUGAAGUUAUUUAAAUGGCCGCAGUAUUCUAACUGUGCAAAGGUAGCAUAAUCAUUAGUCUUUUAAUUGAAGGCUGGUAUGAACGGUUGGACGAGGUAUAAGCUGUUUCAUAUAAAUUUAUAAUAGAAUUUUAUAUUUUAGUUAAAAAGCUAAAAUUUAAUUAAAAGACGAGAAGACCCUAUAAAUCUUUAUACUUUACAUUGUUUAAAUUUUUUAGAUUAAUUUUAUUUUUAUAAUUUAAAGUAUUUUGUUGGGGUGAUAUUAAAAUUUAAUGAACUUUUAAUUAUUUAAAAUCAUUAAUUUAUGAGUUAUUGAUCCAUUAGUAGUGAUUAUAAGAUUAAGUUACUUUAGGGAUAACAGCGUAAUUUUUUUGGAGAGUUCAUAUCGAUAAAAA
rnacentral:rRNA from 1 species